UGCAGCAUAUAUAUAUAUAUAUAUAUAAGUCCAACCAUCACCUGGUAUUUUUCUUCUUCCAAUUUUAGUAUGUAUUGCUGAUCUUAUUAAUCUUCUUUAAUUAAUUUUGUUUGGCUGCACUUGUUAACUAUUAACUGUAGCUUGUAUUCUAUCCUCAGAAAUCAAUUUGGAGGAUACAUAGACAAUCAGUGACAAGUGAAUGUCAUCAUGUAAUUAAUUAACAUGUCCGAAUAUCGUUGUCUGAUCAGUAUAUAGUAGUCAUUCUUUCUUUCUUUGUUCAUUUGAUCAUUUCAAUUGAUGCACCAUUUAUGUAUACCAGCGAAAUUGAAUUCAACUCAAUGUUUGGUUUCUCUUUGAGAUUGUUAUAUAUGUUGGUCUUCUCCAUGCCCAACAAAAAAUAGAUCAAGUAAAUAUGAUAUCAUAUAGUAUGUUCCAAUUAGAUGUGUAUAUACCUGACGUAAAAUAAAUAUUGAUACUUGAUGGCUAUGAGUUUAAAAAGUAUAGUACAAAAAGAUGAGAGAAAUCACACUCUUUGCCAAUAUUUUUCAUGUGCUAAUUACUCAAUAGAUCAACAAUUUAUUAAAUGAAUAAUCUAAGAUGAGAGUAGAGGACCUCAUCUAGCAUCAAUAUAAUGACUUUUUUUUUUUUUUUUGAAAGAGCAUCAAUAUAAUGACUUGACCCAUUAUUGUUUAUUCACAACAAAGCUUAAUACAUAUCAAUCAUAAUUUGGCAUAUAUAAGAAAAUUUGUUUUUAUUGUUAAAAAAAUUGUUUUUGUCCAUGUAAUAAACCAUGUUUUAGUCCCUUUAAAAUAAAUUGGUAUGAAGUCUUCUCUUUUAUAAAAUAAAGGUUAAAAUGCAUUUUUGACCUCCCAAGUUCCAUAAAUUUGCGAUUUUGAUCCCCCAAGUUUGAAAAUAGCACUUUUGCCUCCUUAAGUUUCACCCCCUUUGCAAAACCAUGGUCCCCCUUGAUUUUGGCUCAAUCAAAACUGAUGUGGAUGGCAUGUCACAUGUUGACUGUGUAAUUUUUUAAUUUUAAAAUAAAAUAAAAGCCACAUAAUUAGAAAUAAAAUAAAAUAAAAUAAUUGAAAAAUGAAAAGAAAACCCAUAAAUCAUCAUAUUAAACCCAGAAACACAUAUUCAAAGUAGAAAUACCAAUGACAACAAAAUCCAAACAACUUCAAAUCUAAACCCAUAAAAACAAACCCAAACCUAGAAAAUCCCUAAUUAAAUUCACACAACACACAAAUUAUUCUUGUUCCUCUUCCCUUUAGUUUUCAUUUUUGAUAAAUUAGCAAAAUCUAAACCCAUAAAAGAAUAUGAAAAUUAACAUUAGUACCAACAAGUUAAACCUAGAAUUGGUUCAUUUUCCAUUCCCUUUCCCUUUGUUCUGCAUGCUCAUCUAACAUCAACGCAGUAAAGAAAAAAUAAUAAUUGGUUUUGUUUAGAUUCUUAAGAAGACAAUAUUGUUUUUGUUGUGUUUGACAGGAAAACCAAAAGCAACAAUAAUAAUUGGAAUGAGGUUGGAUAUGAGUUAUAAUUAAAGAUUGAGUUUGGUUUAAUUUGUUUGAAUGAUUUUGAUUUUGAGGAUGAAGAUUAGGAUUGAAGAUGAAGAAGAUUUUUUCAAUGUUUAUUAUUAGUUUUAAUUUCAUUUUUCUAUUUUUUUUAAUUUUAAAUUUUAAUUAAUUUCCAUUUGUGCACACAGUUGUAAAUAUUUUAUAUAAAAAAAUAUCCACAUUAGUCUUUCCUUAUUUUGAUUUAGUAGUUGUAGUAAAAAUGUAUAUUUUACAAGUCCACUUCAUAAGAAACAAAAUUAAAAUGACCAAAACAAAAAACCAAAUACAAUCUUAGAUCUACGGUAUACUUUUGACAGUAGAUCAAAAAUAUACUUAAACCAAAAAAAUAAUUUUAAAGAGUAACUAGGCAAAUUGGUUGUCGAAAUUUUAAGCAAUUGUUGAAAGUCCCUAAAUUUUUUCUCCAAAAUUAGGACAUGUAAACUAAAAUAGGUAAUCUUUAUGUUAAUUUCUGUCAUUAAGGGUCCGUUUGGU
rnacentral:lncRNA from 1 species